AACGCACAUUGCGCCCGCUAGUAUUCUAGCGGGCAUGCCUGUCCGAGCGUCAUUUCAACCAUCAAGCCCCCUUGGCUUGUGUUGGGGACCUGCGGCAGCCGCAGGCCCUGAAAUGCAGUGGCGGGCUCGCUGACACGUCGAGCGUAGUAGUAUAAAUCUCGCUUGGGGCGUGCUGCGGGUUCCGGCCGUAAAACAGCCUUCUUUUCUCAGCACUAGGUUGACCUCGGAUCAGGCAGGAGUACCCGCUGAACUUAA
rnacentral:misc_RNA from 1 species